GUGUUAUCGACGUUGCAAAACCGACGUUGUUUCGACGUCGUUCUGACGUCGUUGUGGCGACGUCGGGUCAGUGAUCAAAUUUAAUAUAAAUACUAUUGGGUGAAGCCAAGAUCGACGCAAAAGAAUGUUCUCUUUUAGGUAUACUGAAACACGCGUGAAUUUUGUGAGGUUUUCCAAUCAACGUUUUUCAAUUUUUGUACACUCUUUUUAUAAUUAGUGGUAAAUACCCCACUUAAAGAGCAGUCUAUAUACUAGUAUUCUAUGUAUAGUUCAAAUCCUUCAGAAGUCAUAGAUUGUUGGUGUUUCUACGCGGGAUUUUUUGGGAACUUGUAACUGAAAAAUUUGUACUCGUCAAAUAACUUUGCUUUUUAUGAUAAAGUGUUUCUAAAAUUUGCGCUGAAAGGCCACUUUGAUAAGCCGGACAUAAAAAAUGAUCGCCUGACAAAUUAUAAAAUUUUAUCUAUAUUCAGUAAAUUUCCGCGUAGGGGCCUCGCGCAGUUCACUUCACUGGAUUUACAUGAUACUCCAGUUACACAUUCAGCACACCGAAUCGCCCUUAAUAUAACAUAGGUCCACCCCAUAUAUCAUCGAAGUGUGAUGUUUGAAUUUUUGGCGGUGGGACACUUCCUUACGGAUUUUUUGUAUCAUUUUAUGUUUAUAUCAAGUCUCGUUUAUUCGGUGAACUAAAUGGAUCAUAUUUUCGUAUUUUUAUAUCUUGUAGCGACUUAUUUAGUACACUUCAUUUGAUUGUGAUAGAUUUGAUCUAUAGACAUCAUAGACACAAUAUAAAAAUCUAUUUAAAUUAUUAUCGACCUAACUAAUCCUUCGUAUUACAGAUGAUAUUUUUAAUAAUAGUUUUCUAAAUGACAGUAUAUUUGUUAUUAUAUUUUAGACCAAAGCUCUGAGUGAAGAAUUUUGCUUACUUUAAGUAUGGUAUUCGGACUACUUUCCUAUGAUAUGAAGAAUUCAAGGCAAGGUAUGCAUCUUUUAACUUUAUACAGCUAGUAGAUCGAAUUUCUCUCUUGUUUAUAAAUCAUACUGUAGACUGUAUAUAUAAAUGAAAGUGUUAUGCUAAUUCUUUGCCAGUAACAAUAUAAUGGUGCUGAGGUUAUUUUAUUUAUUUUAUUUUAUUUUAUUUUAUUUUAUUUUAUUUUAUUUUAUUUUACAAGUUUGCCAUUGCAAUAGAUCUAUAUAGAGUACUAUGGUUACAAAUGACUGGAAUAUAGUUCUCCAAUAACGGGGUUCCAAAAAAUAACAACUAAUGGUAUAUCUAAUUAUUUUGAAGUUAAAGCAAACAUAACAAUUAAACACAAAUACAAGAAGACAACGCAAACCUAUUGACGAACAAACGAACAAAAACUAAAUUUAGCAACAUGUUCGAGUUGAUAAGUUCAUUAGUGGGCGAGUGGUGUGACAUUUAAUACACACAGACUUAAAUAUUCUUGGAUCUUCAGGGUCAUAAAUUUGUUGGGUUAAUUCUACGUAGUAUUUCAUUAGAUUACAUUUAAAUGUAGUUAGAGAUGUGGUGGUAUUUCUUAUGAAGCCGGGAAGCGUGUUCCAUACAUUAGCAGCUCUGAUGUAAAAGCUGUUUUGAAAAGAAACAGUUUUACUUUUGGUUACAUGAAGUAGGACGCCGUUAGUUGAACUAGUAUUCCUU